rnacentral:SRP_RNA from 12 species
AUCCCGCACCCUGACAGAUCCUGACGGCAUCAGCGUAGAGAGCAUCCCUUGUGGCGUCGGGAAGUCCGAUGGACGGAGCAACUUC